AUUGAACGCUGGUGGCAGGCUUAACACAUGCAAGUCGAACGGUAACAGGAAUUAGCUUGCUAAUUUGCUGACGAGUGACGGACGGGUGAGUCAUGAGUGGGAAUCUGGCUUAUGGAGGGGGAUAACUACGGGCAACUGUAGCUACUACCGCGGAAAAUCUUCGGAAUAAAGGGGGGGACUUUCGAGCCACCUGCCAUAAGAGGAGCCCAAGUGGGAUUAGGGAGUUGGUGAGGUAAAGGCUGACAAAGCCGACGAUCUCUAGCGGGUCUGAGAGGAUGACCAGCCACCUUGGAACUGCCCCACCGUCCACACUCCUACGGGAGGCCGCAGUCUCGAAUAUUGCACAAUGGGGGGAACCCUGACGCAGCCAUGCCUCUUCUAUGACUGAGGCCUUCGGGUUGUUAAGUACUUUCGGUGACGGGGAAGGUUGAUUGGUUAUUAGCCUAUCAAAUUGACGUUAAUCACUGAAGAAGCACCGGCUAACUCCGUG
rnacentral:rRNA from 1 species